CCUACGGGUGGCAGCAGUGGGGAAUAUUGGGCAAUGGGCGCAAGCCUGACACAGCAACGCCGCGUGAAGGAAGAAGGCUUUCGGGUUGUAAACUUCUUUUAAGAGGGAAGAGCAGAAGACGGUACCUCUUGAAUAAGCCACGGCUAACUACGUGCCAGCAACCGCUGUAAUACGUAGGUGGCAUGCGUUGUCCGGAUUUACUGGGUGUAAAGGGCGUGUAGCCGGGCUGACAAGUCAGAUGUGAAAUCCCGUGGCUCAACCACGGAACUGCAUUGGAAACUGUCGGUCUUGAGUAUCGGAGAGGCAGGCGGAAUUCCUAGUGGAGCGGUGAAAUGCGUAGAUAUUAGGAGGAACACCAGUGGCGAAGGCGGCCUGCUGGACGACAACUGACGGUGAGGCGCGAAAGCGUGGGGAGCAAACAGGAUUAGAUACCCCAGUAGUC
rnacentral:rRNA from 1 species